rfam:Terriglobus saanensis SP1PR4, complete genome.
GUGAGGAUCACUACGUGCUUUUUCAUUUGUUACUGCAGAGGAAUGCAUUGGGAAGCGCGGUGAGAAUCCGCCACUGCCCCGCAACUGUAAGCGCACCAUGGUCCCAUGGGCCGGAACGGUUUUCGCAAUCGAGGAAGCUUCGCACUGUGGCUCAGGGCCGCGGGAAGGGAAGCGGUCCAGAUAUCGUUGCAGCCGGGCGCGUAAGUCAGGAGACCGAUUCCACUGCUGACACCAGC